UACGGGGGGAGCAAGCGUUGUUCGGAUUUACUGGGCGUAAAGGGCGCGUAGGCGGCCACCGCAAGUCGACUGUGAAAUCUCCGGGCUUAACCCGGAAAGGUCAGCCGAUACUGCGGGGGCUAGAGUGCAGAAGGGGCAACUGGAAUUCUCGGUGUAGCGGUGAAAUGCGUAGAUAUCGAGAGGAACACCUGCGGCGAAGGCGGGUUGCUGGGCUGACACUGACGCUGAGGCGCGAAAGCAUGGGGAGCGAACAGG
rnacentral:rRNA from 1 species